UACAGAGGGGGCAAGCGUUGUUCGGAAUUACUGGGCGUAAAGGGCGCGUAGGCGGCCUUCUAAGUCGAACGUGAAAUCCCCGGGCUCAACCCGGGAACUGCGUCCGAUACUGGAAGGCUUGAAUCCGGGAGAGGGAUGCGGAAUUCCAGGUGUAGCGGUGAAAUGCGUAGAUAUCUGGAGGAACACCGGUGGCGAAGGCGGCAUCCUGGACCGGUAUUGACGCUGAGGCGCGAAGCCAGGGGAGCAAAGCGGG
rnacentral:rRNA from 1 species